rnacentral:rRNA from 1 species
AACGAACGCUGGCGGCAGGCCUAACACAUGCAAGUCGAACGUGAAGCCACCUUCGGGUGGUGGAAAGUGGCAGACGGGUGAGUAACGCGUGGGAACGUGCCUUUCGGUUCGGGAUAACCCAGGGAAACUUUGGCUAAUACCGGAUACGCCCUCCGGGGGAAAGAUUCAUUGCCGAAAGAUCGGCCCGCGUCGGAUUAGCUAGUUGGUGGGGUAAAAGCCUACCAAGGGGACGAUCCGUAGCUGGUCUGAGAGGAUGACCAGCCACACUGGGACUGGGACACGGCCCAGACUCCUACGGGAGGCAGCAGUGGGGAAUAUUGGACAAUGGGCGCAAGCCUGAUCCAGCCAUGCCGCGUGGGUGUAGAAGGCCCUAGGGUUGUAAACCCCUUUCAGCGGGGAAGAUAAUGACGGUACCCGCAGAAGAAGCCCCGGCUAACUCCGUGCCAGCCGCCGCCGUAA